GAUUAACGCUGGCGGCAUGCCUAAUACAUGCAAGUCAAACGGGUGUACUUGUACACCAGUGGCGAACGGGUGAGUAAUAUAUAGGUAACUUACCCUUGAGACCGGGGAUAACCAUUGGAAACGAUGGAUAAUACCGGAUAGUACAUUUUACCGCAUGGUUUAAUGUUUAAAGACGCCUUUCAAGCGUCACUCCAAGGAGAGGCUUAUAUCGCAUUAGCUAGUUGGUGAGGUAACGGCCCACAAGGCGACGAUGCGUAACUGUGCUGAGAGGCAAAACAGUCACAUUGGAACUUAGACACGGUCCAAACGUCCUACGGAGGCAGCAGUAGGAAUUUCGGCAAUGGGGGAAACCCUGACCGAGCAAUGCCGCGU
rnacentral:rRNA from 1 species